CAGCCGCCACGGGAAUACGAAGGGUGCAAGCGUUACUCGGAAUUACUGGGCGUAAAGCGUGCGUAGGUGGUGGUUUAAGUCCGUUGUGAAAGCCCUGGGCUCAACCUGGGAAUUGCAGUGGAUACUGGAUCACUAGAGUGUGGUAGAGGAUAGUGGAAUUUCCGGUGAAGCAGUGAAAUGCGUAGAGAUCGGAAGGAACAUCUGUGGCGAAGGCGACUAUCUGGGCCAACACUGACACUGAGGCACGAAAGCGUGGGGAGCAAACAGGAUUAGAUACCCCGGUAGUCCCUGUCUCUUAUAC
rnacentral:rRNA from 1 species